rnacentral:rRNA from 1 species
GGGGAAUAUUGCACAAUGGGCGCAAGCCUGAUGCAGCGACGCCGCGUGGGGGAUGACGGCCUUCGGGUUGUAAACCUCUUUCAGUAUCGGCGAAGCGCCUGGGUUUUCUUAGGCGUGACGGUAGGUACAGAAGAAGCACCGGCCAACUACGUGCCAGCAGCCGCGGUAAUACGUAGGGUGCGAGCGUUGUCCGGAAUUACUGGGCGUAAAGAGCUCGUAGGUGGUUUGUCGCGUUGUUCGUGAAAACUCACAGCUUAACUGUGGGCGUGCGGGCGAUACGGGCAGACUGGAGUACUGUAGGGGAGACUGGAAUUCCUGGUGUAGCGGUGGAAUGCGCAGAUAUCAGGAGGAACACCGGUGGCAAAGGCGGGUCUCUGGGCAGUAACUGACGCUGAGGAGCGAAAGCGUGGGGAGCGAAC